UACGUAGGGUCCGAGCGUUGUCCGGAAUUACUGGGCGUAAAGAGCUCGUAGGUGGUUUGUCGCGUUGUUCGUGAAAACUCACAGCUCAACUGUGGGCGUGCGGGCGAUACGGGCAGACUGGAGUACUGCAGGGGAGACUGGAAUUCCUGGUGUAGCGGUGGAAUGCGCAGGAUAUCAGGAGGAACACCGGUGGCGAAGGCGGAUCUCUGGGCCAUUACUGACGCUGGAGGAGCGAAAGCGUGGGGAGCGAACAGG
rnacentral:rRNA from 1 species